AGCAGCCGCGGUAAUUCCAGCUCCAAUAGCGUAUAUUAAAGUUGUUGCAGUUAAAAAGCUCGUAGUUGAAUUUCGGGGUUAGUAGGUUGGUCAUGCCUCUGGUAUGUACUGGUCUCACUGAUUCCUCCUUCCUGAUGAGCCGUAAUGCCAUUAAUUUGGUGUUGCGGGGAAUUUGGACUGUUACUUUGAAAAAAUUAGAGUGUUUAAAGCAAGCUAACGCUUGAAUACAUUAGCAUGGAAUAAUGAAAUAGGACGUUCGAUCCUAUUUUGUUGGUUUCUAGGAUUGACGUAAUGAUUAAUAGGGAUAGUUGGGGGCAUUAGUAUUCAAUUGUCAGAGGUGAAAUUCUUGGAUUUAUUGAAGACUAACUACUGCGGAAGCAUUUGCCAAGGAUGUUUUCAUUAAUCAAGAACGAAAGUUAGGGGAUCGAAGACGAUCAGAUACCGUCGUAGUCUUAACCAUAAACUAUGCCGACUAGGGAUCGGACGGUGUUAGUAUUUUGACCCGUUCGGCACCUUACGG
rnacentral:rRNA from 1 species